UUAAGCGAACCGACUUCAACCUCCACCGUCGGAGCUUCAGUUCCAGGGACAGAAUCACUGUCGAUAGGACUAUCUAACAUGGAUUCUUAAGGGUUUCUCACUGGUAGAUAGUAAAGAGGCUCCAAUUAAAGAUACAUCAGCAAAUUGGCAAUGAUUAAUAAGCGACGGAUUCCACUUCUUAUCUUCAUCAUAAUUCUCAGAUCUCUGAUUUGAUUUCUGCAAUCAAGUCUCAACAUGAAAUAGAUCGGAACAUAACACUAGAAAGCUAGAUUACUUACACUGUCAUUACCAACCCAUGUAUGUGAGAUUAUUAAAAGCAAACAAAAGUAAAAACACAGAUAAACAAAGGAAAGAGGAUGCGUAGGAGAAAGCCAGCCACAUGCCACCAUG